GACGAACGCUGGCGGCGUGCUUAACACAUGCAAGUCGAACGGAAAGGCCCUGCUUUUGUGGGGUGCUCGAGUGGCGAACGGGUGAGUAACACGUGAGUAACCUGCCCUUGACUUUGGGAUAACUUCAGGAAACUGAGGCUAAUACCGGAUAUGAGCUCCUGCUGCAUGGUGGGGGUUGGAAAGUUUCGGCGGUUGGGGAUGGACUCGCGGCUUAUCAGCUUGUUGGUGGGGUAGUGGCUUACCAAGGCAUUGACGGGUAGCCGGCCUGAGAGGGUGACCGGCCCCAUUGGGAUUGAGAUGCGGCCCAGACUGCUACGUGAGGCAGCAGUGAGAAAUAUUGCACGAUGGGCGGAAGCCUGAUGCAGCAACGCCGCGUGCGGAAUGACGGCCUUCGGGUUGUAAACCGCUUUCGCCUGUGACGAAGAGUGAGUGACGGUAAUGGGUAAAGAAGCACCGGCUAACUACGUG
rnacentral:rRNA from 1 species